UAGCUCAGUCGGUAAAGAGUCUGCCUGCAAUGCAGGAGACCUGGGUUCAAUUCCUGG
rnacentral:tRNA from 1 species